UACGGAGGGAGCAAGCGUUGUUCGGAUUUACUGGGCGUAAAGGGCGCGUAGGCGGUCAGCACAAGUCAGUUGUGAAAUCUCCGGGCUUAGCUCGGAAAGGUCAACUGAUACUGUGCGACUAGAGUGCAGAAGGGGCAACUGGAAUUCUCGGUGUAGCGGUGAAAUGCGUAGAUAUGACAUAGAACACCAAUUGCGAAGGCAGCUCACUACACAAAUAUUGACGCUGAGGCACGAAAGCGUGGGGAUCAAACAGG
rnacentral:rRNA from 1 species